GUUUUCAGAGAUGUCCUGAGGGCAGUGGAGGAACGGGAUUUUCCAACAGAAACCAUUAAAUUUGGUCCUGAACGCAUGUAUAUUGAUUGCUGGGUAAAAAAACACACCUAUGACACCUUUAAGGAGGUUCUUGGAUCAGGGAUGCAGUACCACUUGCAGUCAAAUGAAUUCCUUCGAAAUGUAUUUGAACUUGGACCCCCAGUGAUGCUUGAUGCUGCAACGCUUAAAACGAUGAAGAUUUCUCGUUUCGAAAGGUUCUCUGGUUUGUCUGGAGUGUUUGCAAGUCAGUCAUCAUAGUGGCAGCUUCCGCCUGCUACAGGAUAUUUAUAUAUGGAAGCAUACCAUGGCAGGAGUGCUGGAAAGGUGGUGUCAGCUAACAGUUGCUUCAGCCAGAUAAGGACGGUAACUUCAGUCCAAUAAAAACCUCAUCAGUUACC
rnacentral:lncRNA from 1 species